rnacentral:lncRNA from 7 species
AAGGUUGUACCUCAUUGGCUUAUAAAACCUUGGCUGGGUGUUCCUUUGGCUUGCAUUGAAGCAGAAAAAAUAGUUUUGCAACAUGUGGGACUGAAGUUCUUACUCUGCUAUUUGCUAGGAAUUUAUUUGCUAAAAAGAAAUUCAAUGCAGGCUUUUCUGAUAGCAAACAAAAAUAUAUGUCUCGCUUAAGUUUCCCCAGAUGAAUUGUAAAAUAUAACUUAAUAUGCACAUGCAUCUGUUCUGUGGAAACUACAGACAGGAGGAAAAUUAUAUACCUGACCUGCUCUAGGAUUACAAGAGCCCCCAUUCCUGUUACACGACAGAGGUCAGAAUUUACUGGCAUCAGCGGCAGCUGCUACAGAGAGCAAAGCACUGAGCUCUGGUUGCCUUUUGAGAAAAGGACUUCUCCUGCUGGCUUUUUUUUAUCUGAAGAGGGCAUCACUUCCUUCAGGAUGUCAGCUGAUAUCCUGGCAGAUCUUUCUCAAACUGUGAUGUGAACUGGCAAGUGGGCUGCCAAGAGUGAGAUGAAAGAGCACGACAGAGACUCCAGAGUAUGGCAGGGCUUGAUGGCAGCGGGGCCGUUUCCGCACCGCACUGCCCGGGUGGUGAUGAUGUGUGAAAUAGUGUCCUCUGCUGCACGAACCGACACAGUGCGCCUGCCCUGAGUUGCCCCGCAGGAAGGCAGACAGGAGUGAGAAAGCUCCAGCCCUUGAACAACGGUAAAUCCUGAUCUAAAGGUAACAUUUUCCGUGCUAAUGGGAAUAUGAUCUAUCUUAAUAACUAAAUCGGCUGACAAAAAUAGAUGCCUUGAAUGGAGGCUUGGUCCACUGCAGAAGCCUGUGAUAGCUAUUGAUACUGUUGCUGAGCUUUGUCUCUUUCAAAAGGAUAAAGGGGACAGUUACAUUCUGUUCACAGUGUUCUUAAGUUGAAACUAAAGGCAUUUCAUGCUUUAAAACACCGGAGCAGUGUGAAGAAGCUCAGUUCUGACUUCAGGUGCUGGACAUCUGGGGAGGCUGGUAGCCCUGAUUUUAUGGUGACUAGCUCAGCUUAGGUUCACUGAACCUACUAUGGUUACACAAGCCAUGACAACAGAAAACAAGAGCCAUUACAGUGAAUUUAGGUGUUAAUGAAAGCAGUGUUUUAAAUAGUGUUGGCUACUAUCUGUGCAGUACAAUAUACGGUAUAGCACUUUAUAACCUAACUCAGCCAUGGAGCAUUUCUCCUGCCCCAUAUCAUUGUUUCCUUCCACAGACCUGUGCAGAGUACAUCACAUGAUGGUUCACUGAUGCACAGUGAAACAUGAGUUACUUUUCAAACUUUACUCAAAAUGAAAUGUGGCAUUUAUUUGGCUUUUGUACCUCUCAGAGUACUAUAGGAACAGUGAGCAGGCAUUCUUAAUCCCUUUUAUGCAAACUGGGACAGAGAGAAGUAUUAGAAAAGUGUCCUCUUUGUCAAAGUUACUCCAGCUUUCCUAUUUCUAUUGCUAUCCUGGAUAAAUUUGUAACUUUGGAAAGAUAGGUUUGAGUGGAUGAAAUAAAUUCUUGAAUUAAUCCAAGCUUUUUAUAUUUUUAAGAACAUUACUGAUGGUUCAUUAUUUGUAAUUGACUUCACCAGCAGACAGCUGACAACCAUCCUGAGCUUACACAGUUAGCAGGAAAUGCCAUGUCUUUGUUGUCUCUCUCAGAUUUUCUGCAGUUCUGAUGAUGUUAUGUUGAAGUAUUCUUAUGAUUAUUUGUUUUUUUAACUUUCAGAAUUUGAAAGUCUGUGUAUGAAUAUGACAGAAUUUCUUUUCUGAAUUUGUUUAUUCAUGGUCUGGACCACUUCUUCACAGCUGUAAGAAUGGAGUAUUCCUCUCUUUAACUUGCCUGCUGCUAUUUCUCUUUCAUAAGGCGAAUUAUAAAUAAAUUAUACUUAG